rnacentral:lncRNA from 12 species
CCCCCCCCCCCCCCCCCCCCCCCCCCCCCCCCCCCCCCCCCCCCCCCCCCCCCCCCCCCCCCCCCCCCCCCCCCCCCCCCCCCCCGCCGAGCGCUUCCCUUCCCUUCCCUUCCCUUCCCUUCCCGCUGCAGGGCCGGGCCGGUCCGAGACGCGGUGUGGGGGCUGGGGCAGGGCCCUGCUCGGGCCUUGCGUGUGCUGAAGGCGCCGGUGGAGCGCGUGAGCAAAUGCUGGGCAGUCCCGCUUAAUGGAGCGGGAUUUGUGCAGGGGUGAACGUCUGAAAGCAGCUGUGAGGAAAAAAGGAUGUGACACAUUUUUAUUCAGGAAUCAUUUUGGUGUUCUCACAUGGACAGGAAGAUACCUAUGCGUAUGCACAUCAGAGGAGUGAAAGAAAUCCCAUGGAGAAGGCAGGAUGGCAAAGACGUUCUCUUGAGUCCCCGGGUUUUCAGCAGAAAAAUUCCCAAAUAGGCCAGGAUUUCUCCAGCAGAAUAUUUUCUUCCAUUAAUUUCUGCAGCACAUAAAGUAGUUGAAGAACAUGGAAAUACUUGGUAGAAGACAUAUGGCUAUGGUGCCAAGUACAGAAAGCAAUCUGUAAUUUUGUUAUGACUUUUUCCUUAUUUUUUAGGCUUGUCCAGAG